CUCUCUCUCUCUCUCCCAAAAAAACCCCAAUCCCUCCUCCAUCAAGCCCCAAAAUCAGAGCUCCCCCAAAUCUGAUUUCUCCGACGACUUCACCAACUCCGCCUCCCUCCCAAAUCCGCCAUCUCCGACGGCGUCACCAACUCCUCCAUACUUCGCCGACUUCCUCUUCGAUCUCCGUCGAGCUCCCUCGAUCUCCCUCGAGCUCUCUAAGUGAUCUCCCCCAACUUCGCCAACUACCCCCUCCUCCGUCGACUUCCCCCUACUCCGCCGACUUCGAUCUAACGGACUCUGUCAAGGGACCAUGAAUGUUAACGGAAAGGGGUACGCCUCGUUAGAAAUCGAUAAUGGAGAGAAUCUCGAUAAUUUGAGUUCGAUUUCUGCUGUAAUGGUGCUCAAAACUCUAUUCUUUCUACUUGCCUGGUACCUUUUCAGUACUCUGUUGACGUUGUAAGCUUGUGGUAUAAUAAGACAUUGUUAGGGGACCAUCUGUGAAAAUUUUCGGUUCCUUUGAUGAUGAACACAGUUCAUUUUGGGAUGCAAGCUGUGAUAUCCAACACCAUUUUUUUCCAGACUCUGUUUAAAGAUAGAAGCGGCCCGACCAUGACAUGGAGGGAUUACUUCUUUAGAGUUGUGCCUACGGGAUUGGCUACUGCCUUGGAUGUAAACCUGAGCAAUGAGUCCCUUGUUUUCAUAUCAGUUACAUUUGCGACAAUGUGUAAAUCUGCAGCACCGAUAUUUCUCCUGGUGUUUGCUUUCGCAUUUAGGAUCAUGAUAUAUGUGAGAGGUUUAGUGCAAAAAAUCAAGCGUCUAUGCUUCAGUUCACAGAUAUUGCAAAUAUUCAAGGAUCUGUUUUUGAAAGAACAAGACCCGCCAAAUGACAUGAACAACCUUUUCUAGUUUUAAGAGUCUCUUUUGGUUCAAUAUUUAUUCUUCAAGACGGCUGCUCACAAGAGGUUACUACUUAAGAGGGCCUAUGGCAUGGCUGCUAACAGGAGAUCUUUAUGCUUCAAACGACCAAGCUGCCAUGUGUACUCAUCCUCUCUGACAGCUUCAAAUCGAGCUGCUAUCUGCUCUUAAGCAGUUCGCAACUUUGUGCUACGAUGUGUAUUACUAGCUCUUCAUGUUGUAACCGAAACAUUGAUGCAUGAACUCGAAACAUUGUUGUAACUGUGUUGUUUUGCAACAGAUUUCAUUAUAUGUGAGUUUGAGAGUUGCAAUCUAUUUCAAUUUGUUGUUGAUAUGUUGUGUAUAUCCAUUAUUUGUUGAAACAUAGACAGUGAAUUUUCUUGUUAUGUAUGCACCUAUUGUGUUUGCUUA